rnacentral:piRNA from 1 species
UACCUUCACUGGUCCCUGAAAUGAGGUUG